AUUGAACGCUGGCGGCAUGCUUUACACAUGCAAGUCGAACGAGUGGCGAACGGGUGAGUAAUAUAUCGGAACGUACCGAGUAAUGGGGGAUAACCAAUCGAAAGAUUGGCUAAUACCGCAUAUUAUUCGAGCGGCCGAUAACUGAUUAGCUAGUUGGUGGGGUAAAGGCCUACCAAGGCGACGAUCAGUAGCGGGUCUGAGAGGACAAUCCGCCACACUUGGACUGAGACACGGCCCAGACUCCGGCGGGAGGAAGCAGUGGGGAAUUUUGGACAAGGGGGGCAACCCUGAAGCAGCUCUGGCGCGUGUAUGAAGAAGGCCUUCAGAUUGUAAAAAUCUUUUCUAUGGGAAGCAGUACCAUAAGAAUAAGGACCGGCUAACUACGUGCCAGCAGCCGCGGUAAUAC
rnacentral:rRNA from 1 species